UAACCCUAUUUAAUGCUGUUAAAUAAAACAGCUAAAGCAUAUAUAACGAAGUGACAAACAGGAAUUAUAUAAAAUCUUAAUAUACAAAUGUAAAUUGUAGUUGUAAGCAUUAAUUUAUAGAAGCAAAUCAGAAUGUGAAGAUAAAAUUCUUAAUAUGUAAAUCAUUAGAAGUAAAACUAAAGUCUGAAUAUUGCAGUUCAUUGUAAAUAUGUAGUUAUAAUUCUGAAUACAUCAAUUUAAAUUGCAAUAUGUAGGCACAUAUUUAUUUGAAUUAAUAGCUACAUAAAUAUAUAUGUAGGUAAUAUAAAUAUGUAUUUUGAUUUACUUAAUAUACACACUCAGAAUUAUGUAUUCUGAUAAGCUUCUAUAUAUUCACAGUUUACAUAUUCUGUUUUUAUAUAAUUAUUUUGUGUUCGGCACUUCAUAAUAUAUAAAACAUAUACAGUUUUACAUUUUACAUUACAAAAUAAUAUGAAAACAUUUACGACCAACAUAUAAUGCUACAUAUUUACUGUACACUUUGUUAAAUCGAUGUAAUAUCUUAAUAGUAAAAAUUGAUAAAAUAUAGUAAUAAUAGUAAAAUAUUUGUUAUAUUAUAUUAAUACAUCUUAAUAUGUUCUGAAUUAGCAUGGGUGAGCAGUUUUUCCCUAAGAAAAUUAAAAUCAAUAUUAAACUGAAAAUAAAACCUGGCUAUAGAUUAAAACUUUUUCAAUAUGGAAUAAACCUUACCUAAAGGAACAAACGCCAACCUGAAAUCAUUCACAUUCGAUUUUGAUUUUAUAUUUUGCUAUAUACACAGCACUUUAAGCUAUAAAAUGUACAUAUACAUAACAGCGGCUUUUUAAGUCAGUGAGCUACUGUACAGGAACACCAGUUUCUGAGUAUGUAUCAGCCCCUUGAAUUGUAUAGCAUUUGGUGACACCUGCCAGAGACAUCACUGCAUAUGAUUGGCUGCUGAAAACACUAGCUGGGAGCUUCAGUUGUCUGUAUGGAGGCUGUUAUGGUAGUCCUGCAAAGCUCAGUGAGGAACUCAUCAUUCUAAACAAUGGCUUGCUGUUUGCUACUAGUUUUAAUGACAUUCAUCGGUGCGAGUAUUCAAGACAGCAUUACCCCAACGUCUCCUGAAGUCUAUGCAAAGGCCAAUGAAAAAGUGACGCUCUCUUGUAAAUACCAGUACACAGUGUCAAUGAAUAAUCUACAGUGGUAUCGGCAUUACCACAACUCUACGCCGGAGUUUCUGGUUUUAAUCAUGGAGUCGGGACAGAAUCAAACCGCUACGCCUCCUCAUCCUCGGCUGACAGCUUCAGUUAAUAAAGAUAGGACGGUGAAUCUAGAAAUCUUUCCUGCAGAUGUGGAGGACUCUGCUGUGUAUUACUGCGCACUGCAGCCCACAGAGACAGGAAACGCUUGAACACCGUACAAAAACCUACUCAGUGCUAAACGGAGAACAAAAUUCAGAUCGGAUCAGCCUUUGAGAGUGCGCACGAAGGCCUCAAGGGGGCAGCACUUUUUAUGACGCUGAACAACAUCAUAAGCAUGGGCACAAAGCUGAAAUGUGACAAGUGACAGCAUGUGACUAUGAAAGAUUUUGAACAGUCGCACACAGCUGAUCAGUACA